rnacentral:misc_RNA from 1 species
ACUUAAUGUCAACAAAACGAAGUAUCUAUUUAUAGAUGUGUGACAAAUUUAAAUAUUUUUACCUGCUAAACACACACCUGGGUUAUCAUUUAUGUCAAAUAAAUAAUAUGUGUAUACACAUGAUAACGUUGUAAAUUGUGAAAUAUUUCUCUACGCUUAAUGGACAUAAAUACGGACAAUUUAAUGCGUUUAUAAGGUUACGUUGUCGAAAGUUUUCAGCUGUAAAUCUUCUGAAUGGGAACCUCGCCAUGAUAACCCCUCUGAAACUAGUGAAAACACUGUUAAGGCAUUAAAGUACGGUAACUAUGUCAUUCGGGAAGAAAGACGCUGACCCGGAGUGGCCUACCUUUGACAACGGGGAUGUCCAAGUGAGCUAUUCGCCUAACGGGGAAAAUGAAAGCAUCUUCACAGACUUUAAACCGGCCACAGAGUUUCACAAUAUCAGAAACAAGAAAAGAAAAUCGAAAAAGAAAGCACGGGCGCUCAGAUUAAUCUCUGAGUCAGAGGUUAAUCGUAAGAACCAGUCUUGCUUCCAAGACCGGAAGCGGUGUGUCGUCAUUUCCGUCCUAACUGCAUGUGUCAUUAUUAUCGUUGCCAUCUGCAUUUUUCUAGGUGUUUACUUUGGUGUCAUUGUUAAAAGCAAGGCAUCAAGUGCUGCGUCACAUAGUGACAGUUCUGUCGAUGUUGUAACUUUAUCAACAACAAAAGCACCACCGCCGGCCACAUCAAAAGUUAACACAACACCACCAUCUCGUACAACGUUACCUCCUACAACAAAGCCCAUGACGCGCCCUUUAACAACAUCUACGUCGACAUCUACAACAACAACUUCUACUUCAACAACAACAACAACCACCACAACUACUACCACCACAACAACGACGACGCCGGCGCCAACGGAGCCACCGGUCCGGCAAUUUUCUGGAAGUCAAGAAGAUAUUGAUGCCGUCGUAGCUACGGCAAAGAAUUGCACAGAGAAGAUAAUAUAUACCACAGACAGACUGACGCAGAAAGAGAAAUGCAGUAAGUAUUACGAGAUGCUGCGAUGUGUGUACAUAAUAAGCACAAAGGACCAACUUCACAUUCCAGUUGAUACUUUAGGAACAGUGAUAGAGAAUAAAAAAGAAACAGUAUUUCCGGCAUGGAUUGUUAUAGACCCAUUUUCUUGUAGAGUGUCUGGUGUACUCGAUAUAGAAAAUAUAACCAUGUUGCCUCUGACCCCAGCUGAGCUGUGUUCGAGCCCAGAUGCCAUCAUGUACUACGGCACACUCGCUUGUGACAUGGUGCAGUAUCCUGACAUCCUUGCUCAGAAAUCUGCCGAGGAUCAGUGCAGAGUCCGAUGGGGUGUCAUUGGAUGUGUGUCAAAUGCCAUGUCAUGCCAGUACGAAGAGAUUGAGUCGGUUGUAAAUAUGUACGAGACUGACGUUUCUAGCAGUCUGCAAACCGCCAAACGGUCUUUAUGCGAUGAUUUGUAUACAAGUAUAUCCCAAGCGUCUCCAUGUGGUUUGACGUUGUACAAAUAUAUGAGACCUAUAUAUAGAAAGUGUUCUCAAGUGUUACAACUAGGGAGUGUGCUAGACUUAGAACAAAUGAAAUGCCCAUUAUUUGACGUGUAUUUUGAGUGCAGCUAUACCUAUAUACCGUCUCUGAUGCGAUAUAGGCAAUGCAGUUCUGUGAAGAAUGACCUUCGUUCAGCGGCCUUAAACAUUGUUAGUACGUUGUCCAUGGUCAAUGUUAGCCCCAAGGGUUUGUUAGAUGCAUCAUCUUGUGUAGACACACCAGUUGCGCCUACCUAUAUAUGUGAAUCUCCCGAGAAACUUGUGACAGUAGUUGAUACGAAAUGCUACACAAAAUUCUACUACGCCGGAGAUAAUCCUAUUUGCCAAACCCUCAGUGAGUAUAUAUACCAGUGUGGUCCGCAGUAUCUGGAGGAACUAGUCAUAUCAAAGAUGCAAUGAUUAGGGAAUCAGACCUGAUUUUAGCAGGCUACUAUGUGGACGUGGCUGCUCUAGCUACCAACGAUACGUGUAUUGAACCUGUUUAAAACGGAGGACAAUUACUCAAAACAAAAGUUACCUAAUCUGAAAUAGCCAAGGUUGAUGUUCGUGACUGACACAAUA